UACGUAGGUGGCAAGCGUUGUCCGGAUUUACUGGGCGUAAAGAGCGCGCAGGCGGUCAGAUAAGUCGAAUGUGAAAGCCCCCGGCUCAACUGGGGAGGGUCAUUCGAUACUGUUCGACUCGAAGGCAGGAGAGGGAAGCGGAAUUCCCGGUGUAGUGGUGAAAUGCGUAGAUAUCGGGAGGAACACCAGUGGCGAAGGCGGCUUCCUGGCCUGUUCUUGACGCUGAGGAGCGAAAGUGUGGGGAGCGAACAGG
rnacentral:rRNA from 1 species